rnacentral:tRNA from 1 species
CGCCGCCAGCGCGCUGGUGAUGUCGGCAUCGCUGGCGCCGCUGCGCAGCAGGGCGCGCAGGUCAUGGCCGCGGGUGGCGA